GUUUCUUUGGUUGCAGACUAGAGAACUUGCUGCUGUUCCCUCGUUUUCAGAGUUGCUGGGGCAGAGGCGCGGGACUUGGCCCUCAGCACAGGUAGCAGCUGUCCAGACACGUGUGCUAUCCCGAAAGACUGCAGUUUGUUUUGAAGGGCUUGUGGUUUCUUCUGGAAGUGCACUGAUGAGGAAUUGUUUGGAGAACAGUGAAACUGAACGAAAGUGCAAUCUCAGCUUCUUUCUCAAAGGACACGCUAGAGAUGCAGUGGACUUGCGUGCCUGUCAUUCUGUUGAAUUACCCUGUUUAUGAAGAAGCUGAUGAUGUCCUCAAGUGGCUUCAAGAGUCUACCUCUCCUCACUCUCCCUGGGAAACAAUUUGGGGUUAUUCUGCUAUGGAAGAGAGCGGAAACAGCUAGAGCUUGGAACAGCUCUGAAGUGUUGGGGUUUAGUGGCAUAACCCUAUAAACCUUCUGUUUUACUGAAUCUGCAAAACUGGAUGUGGAGACAGCAGCUUAAGUACAUCUUGACUUCAGGAUUUUGUUUAUGUUUGAAGCAAAUAUAAAAAAAUAAUACAAAGAAGAUUGUGAUGUGAGUGAAUGAAGUUGAUGAGAAAAUUCAGGAUUUCUUCUGAACUCCUUAAUUCUCUUUUGAGAUUGAGCUCCUGAAUUCUUUUAAAAGGGCUUUACUUAGUCUAAUUACUUCAUUUUAGAUUAUUUAUAGCAGUAUAAUAUAAUAUAGUCUAUAGUAGUAUAGUAUUUUUUUCUGAUCUUAUCUCCAGUUUACCCAACAAAUGAAAGAUUAGGAAAAAGAUAAAUGAAGAUAAUGAACUUUCACCAGAGCUUUAAUGCAUAGCAAGUUAAGGCUAGCAGGCGUCUUGCAGAAAUGGGAGUUGAAAAUCAAAGCUUCCAUUUUUUACUCUGCCAUAAAUCAAACUCACUUCACUGCUUCAUAUAUGGCCUUGGUCAUAUCACUUAGCCUUCUACUUCCUCUUUUUUCCCAUUAUCUCACUGCUUAAGGCUCUAAAUUUUCAUACGUUAGUGCAGACAAUCAUUGACAGUCAUAACUUCUGAGGCUACCUAUUACUACACAAGCAUGUGAGAAAUUGCAUAUUUACAGUUUGUGUAUAUUGACACAGAGUUCAACAGAAAAUUGAAAGCUGACUGGUCAGCACAGAUGUAACAUAUUUAUGAAAAUAUAGCUUUAUGAAUGUGAUAUUCUUAAUUGCCAAAGCAUGCUGAGAAGCCCAACUAGGACAUACACUGCCUCAGAAUCUAGAUGCAGGAGAGGUUUAUAAAGAAACUGAUAUGGUUCCAUAUCUUGGAGGAGGAGAUUUUAGAGAGAUAACAGGUUUUAAGCCAUGAAUUUCAAGCAAGAGUACAGUACUCUUGAUAACUACAUCACCAGAAGAUUUUGAUUUUUGGUCUCCAUGAGCAUUUGGAAAAGAUAAUCGGCAGUAAAAAGUCCCUUCUAUCUGAGAUAUAUAAAAUACACAACAUAGAUGCCAUGGAUCUUUUGUUGAACUAGUGAGAACCCUCUAGUUAUGAGCUAUCAUCUUCAACCCCUUUGUGUUUACUAAAUCAUAUAGUGAAAUAAAAAACAGAUUGCUAUAUUUCCUAAUUCUUACCUUCCAUUGAAAAAAUGCGUGUAUUCAAUAAAUGUCCAAUGUUCAUAAUUGUCACGUAUGGAACGUGACAAUAAAAUGCUGAGAAUUCUGUUUCUGGUUACAUUACAGUUCUUUUUAAUAAUU